CCAAUAGCGUAUAUUAAAGUUGUUGCAGUUAAAAAGCUCGUAGUUGAAUUUCGGGAUCAAUUAAUUGGUCGUGCUUCUGGUACGUACUGAUUUUAUUGGUUUCUCCCUUCUGACGAACCAUGAUGUCAUUAAUUUGGUGUCGUGGAGAAUCAGGACUGUUACUUUGAAAAAAUUAGAGUGUUUAAAGCAAGCUAACGCUUGAAUACAUUAGCAUGGAAUAAUGAAAUAGGACGUUUGAUCCUAUUUUGUUGGUUUCUAGGAUCGACGUAAUGAUUAAUAGGGAUAGUUGUGGGCAUUAGUAUUCAAUUGUCAGAGGUGAAAUUCUUGGAUUUAUUGAAGACUAACUACUGCGAAAGCAUUUGCCAAGGAUGUUUUCAUUAAUCAAGAACGAAAGUUAGGGGAUCGAAGACGAUCAGAUACCGUCGUAGUCUUAACCAUAAACUAUGCCGACUAGGGAUCGGAUGAUGUUAAUUUUUUAAUGACUCAUUCGGCGCCUUACG
rnacentral:rRNA from 1 species